UCCAGAUGUUGGAUUUAACCAAGUUCAGGGCACUCGACUCAUGUCCUUCUCUCCCCUAGCUUGGACAGAAAAUGCAGAGACUAUAGCAAAGCCUGCCAACCUGAGAGAGUCCGCACCAAUACAAGCGUCAAUUAGAAAGCCCUUGGCAGAAUGAAAAACCGUGUGAGGGGGAAUUCGAAGCUCUGGUCAACAACCUCGAGGACUGAACUUAAAAUCGGAGUCACAGCUCCUGCCAGGCGGCCCUCGGAUCCAGCUCCGCUCCCGGAGUCCAGGAAUUGCACCUCAGUCUCUGCCCUUUUGGGGUUUGCGUGGAAUUGCGGGCUUUGGCACCAAGGAGUUUUGGCCUUAACCAUCAGCCCUGUCAACAUUGGAAACGUGUACAACUUACUAACCUGGCAGAUCUUCCUUACUCAAAAAUGAAAGCAUAAUAGUAAUACCUGCCUUAUCCCACAGUGGGAGCAUUAUGUUUACGCAUAUAGAACUCUUAUUACAGGGUGCGGCAGAUGCCUAUUAUUUUACUUCUCUUUUUUCCUUUUCCUUCCAACUAGGGCUCAAAACGAGCUAAAAUUAAUUGAGUACUCUUUAUGUGUCCCCUACUAUUCGAAGCAUUGUGCACACAUUAAUUCAUAGGCAGAAUCCUGUGUCCUGUUAUUCUCCCCACUUUACAGAUUGAAAAACUGAGGUACAAAGAGGUUAAGAACCUUGUCCAGGGUAUACCUGGACAUAAGAUGGGAGCAUUAAUUUACAACUAUCUCGUUGAUUUUGGGGGGCAAAGAUCUACUUUAUACCGACUUGCUUUCUGUCUUUCACAGGGCCUCACAAGAUGUCUUACACAGAAUAUAGCUGGUGUUCAAUAAAUGUCGAUUUCAUUCCAAGAGGCAGAAGCAAUGGAUCUAGUGUUGCAAUAGGCAGGGGGCUAGAAACACACUUGGUCAAAGCAGCAGCUGCUUGCAUUAAGCGAGCAGUACCAUGUGCAGCUGGGAAAGGGUGGGAUGCCAGGUUCUGGCAACCGGGGAAUGUGGCCGCUGCCGGGAGUCACAGAGGGGCCAGCGAGAGGCAAGGCAAGAAAGAACCUGAGCCGGGAGGCCAGCAACAGUGCAAAGUUGCUCAGCUGAAGCCCAAACUCCUCUUUUAGCUAUCCUCCAGGGUCUGAGGAGACAGUAAAUCUCCCUCCAUCCUGUAAUUAUACCACACGAGCAUCUUUAAAAAUACUUAGCCCCAAACUGAUGAGCCCUUUCCUGCUGCUUUUCUACCUGAGCCAGCAGCCUCAGAGCUUUCUGGGAUUGCUGUUAAAAACACUCAGAUCCCAGGAAUCCUUCCCCACCAACACAAUUGUUGCUCAGGCCAAGCAUGGGACAUAUGGCUGAGCAUCUGGGAGGGGGCAGAUUAGCCAGGAGCGCUGGCGAGCGGCACAUGCUUUCAUUAGGCUGGACGUGUCACAGUAAAUCAUUUUGUAACUGUUCCCUCCCUUCUCUCUGCAUAGCAAAACAUAAAGGAAGAUGAAUGACCCAAAGCACCAUAAUGCUGUUGGGAUAUGCCAAAGCUUGUGCCUGAGACACUUACUGACAUUUCCUUAAAUAUCUUUUUAAUAUCUUGGCCAGGUCAGGCAUACCAAUGACAUUACAGAGCUUGCAAAUCAAUGCCCCAGCUGUUUUGGUUUUUUAAUAAAACCGAAUGUGAUCUCUUUAAAAUGAUUGCCUUCCGCCCCCCCCCCCCCCCUUGCUUUUUACAGGGCUUUCAGAGAGCGGGACUGUGGGAGCCCUGAAGUCGGGAGCUGGCUCUCAAAGAGUAGUUGUUCCUUCGGCCGGUGGGGGUGGGGGUGGGGGGAGCGGCAGAAAUCAACCAUUUGCUGGAUUAUUGGCAUCAUCUGUUCCUGGUCCCCUGUCUGACAAAUCCGAUCUACAUGAUUCCCCAGACCAAGUUAUGGUGUGCUGCUGUUGUUAAAAAAUGAAUUUACCAAGAAUCUUGAUGAAAAAUCUGAAGGCUUCGACUUCUAAAAAUCACAUUGGUUUCUCCAACUGGGAUCAGUCCAAAUGAUUUAUUCAUAAUUUUAUUAGAGAGAUCUUUUUCCAGAGAAAUUCUCUGUAUCAACAUAACAGAAAUUGAAAGAGACACUCUACCAAGAAUCCAACCGUAUGCAUGUGACUUUUGCCCCCUGAAGAAAUGGAAUAUGUUAAACUGUCAUCAGUGGUCACCAUCCUGGCCACUGGAAAGCCACCAUCCCCCAACUGCAACAGGAAUUCCUCACGCAAAUGACGACACAGUCCUGUCAAAUGGGAGGUCCCAGUGGGAGGAAAAAUCCAAUAUAAGUGCCUAUAAAUCAGAGUUUUAUAAUGAUAUUAGUUGACUGCUACCUAUAUGGGUCAUAAAUGUGACACCACA